rnacentral:rRNA from 1 species
UAUGUGAUCGUCUCUCGCAUAUCAAUAAGCGGAGGAAAAGAAACUAACAAGGAUUACCCCUAGUAACGGCGAGUGAAGCGGGAAGAGCUCAAAUUUGAAAUCUUAAAGGGUUUCCCUUUACGAAUUGUAGUUUAAAGAAGUGUUUUCUGUUGAGGUUUUGGUAAAAGUUCUUUGGAAUAGGACAUCAUAGAGGGUGAGAAUCCCGUAUUUGACCUUUACUUUCAACUUUGUGAUACACUUUCAAAGAGUCGGAUUGUUUGGGAAUGCAGUCCAAAAUGGGUGGUAAAUUUCAUCUAAAGCUAAAUAUUGGCGAGAGACCGAUAGCGAACAAGUACCGUGAGGGAAAGAUGAAAAGAACUUUGAAAAGAGAGUUAAACAGUACGUGAAAUUGUCAAAAGGGAAGCGUUUGACACCAGUGUUGUUUUUCUGAAAAUCAAUUAAAGAACUGUUUAUGCUAAGCUGUUUAGACUUUAUCAGCUAACUGUUUAGUUUUGAGCUUUUCUUUAAUGCACUUUUCAGUUAACAAGUCAACAUCAAUCUCUUUUGCUGUAAAAAAGCUUGAGGAAGGUGGCUUGAGAUUCGUCUUAAGUGUUUAUAGCCUCUUGCCUAUGCAGUCGGAGAGAUUGAGGUCUGCAGCGUAGAUCCUUCGGGGCUAAAUGCAUUUGUGCUAAGUUAUAGCAUUUUAUAGACAACUUGUUGACUAUGAUUUGUCUUGUAGCUUACUCGCUUAGGUUAUUUUACCUACGCUUAGGAUGUUGAGUAGCGACAUACGCAC